rnacentral:lncRNA from 1 species
AUGUGUGCGAAGUGGGAGACCGCCCUGGGGAUACUCCUUUCUGGUUUCCACAGGAAGCUACAGAAAUGCAAGUCGGAAGGGAUAGAAGGCUGGAGACUGUUCGGCAUGCAAAUACAAUUUUUAAAAAAUUCUCCAGGAGGUUUCAUGGACUCCACCCCCCUUGUUAGUUCAGUGCUGUAUUUCCAAAAUGUGCCUCAGUGACUUAACAACGCACAUUGUUGUCAAGUGUUGCUCUCACAUACUCCAAAUGCCACCCCAAAUUUCUUUGUUUAGAAUAUGUAAGUUCCGUAGGAAAACAUUGUACCUAGUUCCGGAAAUGCUAACUGCAUUCGCAAUGGCAAGAUAGAUAAAUUUUUCUAAAUUGCUUAAUUUUGUUUCUUAUAACCAACUGAAACCCCUAAUAGGUACCUCUAGAGAAAACAGAGACUCAUUCCUCUUAGCUGCA